UGAGUAACACGUAUCCACCCUGCCGUCUACUCUUGGACAGCCUUCUGAAAGGAAGAUUAAUACAAGAUGGCAUCAUGAAUCCGCAUGUUCACAUGAUUAAAGGUAUUCCGGUAGACGAUGGGGAUGCGUUCCAUUAGAUAGUAGGCGGGGUAACGGCCCACCUAGUCUUCGAUGGAUAGGGGUUCUGAGAGGAAGGUCCCCCACAUUGGAACUGAGACACGGUCCAA
rnacentral:rRNA from 1 species